AUGACCAUGGGGGGUAUAAAUACCGACAGUCGCCACUCUCGGGACAGCAGCUCUCUGAGGAGACAGCAGCUUCACUGGAGGCAGCAGCUUCUCCGAAGGCAGCAGCUACUCGGUGUGCUUGUGGCCAGUGUCUGGCAGAGCACACAGAAGAUGUCUAGGCAGCAGCAGGCGAAUGCUCGCGGCCAGCCCCGUGAGUGGCAGCCCCUGCUGUACAAGCGGCAUGGGUCAGCGGGAAGGCAGGACCAUCACCUGCCACCCAUUCAACCUGGGCGUGGGGACCCGCUCGGCAUUGAGACCCUGCCGGUUUGGAAACAGCUGGAGCACUCUGAGAGAGAGGUGCUCCUCAAGCUGAUGGGAGGGCCCAGCAGCAGCGUCUGCAGUGACGUUUUCAGGGAGCUGGGCCCACAUCUGAGGGAGAACAGGCCCAUCGAGUCCACUCGGAGAACCACAAAGUGGUUAAGUGGACGCCAAGGAGGGGAGGGAAUGCGUCGGCCCACCGGGCACAGUGCGCGUGACAAGCAGCUGUGCCUAGAGGAUGAUGAGGCUUUGCUGCGUCGUGCGGAUAAAACGUUGCAGGAGGUGGAUGAGCUGUUGUUUGGAUGCAGCUUCUCCCCCCUGCACGACAAAGAAAGCCCCACGACGCCCAGGUGCAUCCUCAGGGAUCCACCAAGCCCCACUCUGGAGCCAGCUGCAGGCCCCGCGGUGCCUCACAGCACUUGCAGCGUGACCAAAGACUCGGGAGGACAGGCAGAAAACAAGGCAGAGACAGCAGCUCCCGACCUCUUGGAACAGCUGUGCUCCAGCUCUGGCGAGUCACUGCCCUGCGAUGCUCUUCUAAACGAGCUCCUGGAAAAGUGGGAGGAAGAAAGAGGAGCAGCAGGGCAGAGUGACAAUGAGCCAGAGAGCGCACUGGAUCUGCCACCGCAAGAAGAAAGGAAGAGCCAGCAACUUCUACUGCAGACAGCGAUGGCAGCGAUGAGGGCGAUGUCAGCGAGCCUCUCUCCACGGCACUGCCCGAAGAGGCAAACACGGCUGCAGUGUGUGCCUCGGCUGCCGUGGACGAGGCCGACGCAGCAUGGCUUGAGGCUGGCUGUGCCCAGGCCGCCCCUCCCCAGGAAGAGCCCCGCAGGGCUGGGGCGCCUGUUGGGCUUGGUGGG
rnacentral:lncRNA from 1 species